rnacentral:rRNA from 1 species
GUGAACGCUGGCGGUAGGCCUAACACAUGCAAGUCGAACGGCAGCACAGAGGAGCUUGCUCCUUGGGUGGCGAGUGGCGGACGGGUGAGGAAUACAUCGGAAUCUACUCUGUCGUGGGGGAUAACGUAGGGAAACUUACGCUAAUACCGCAUACGACCUACGGGUGAAAGCAGGGGACCUUCGGACCUUGCGCGAUUGAAUGAGCCGAUGUCGGAUUAGCUAGUUGGCGGGGUAAAGGCCC